CUGCCGCGUGCAGGAAGAGGGCCCUAUGGGUGUAAACUGCUUUUUACGGGAAGAACACCCCCUCGUGAGGGGGCUUGACGGUACCGUACGAAUAAGGACCGGCUAACUCCGUGCCAGCAGCCGCGGUAAUACGGAGGGUCCGAGCGUUAUCCGGAAUCAUUGGGUUUAAAGGGUCCGUAGGCGGGCGUCUAAGUCAGUGGUGAAAUUCUGCAGCUCAACUGUAGGACUGCCAUUGAUACUGGUCGCCUUGAAUCGUUGUGAAGUGGCUAGAAUAUGUAGUGUAGCGGUGAAAUGCUUAGAUAUUACAUAGAAUACCGAUUGCGAAGGCAGGUCACUAACAACGCAUUGACGCUGAUGGACGAAAGCGUGGGGAGCGAACAGGAUUAGAUACCCUGGUAGUCCACGCCGUAAACGAUGGAUACUAGCUGUCCGGCGCACAUUGGUGCGCUGGGUGGCCAAGCGAAAGUGAUAAGUAUCCCACCUGGGGAGUACGUUCGCAAGAAUG
rnacentral:rRNA from 1 species